rnacentral:rRNA from 1 species
UACAGAGGGUGCAAGCGUUGUUCGGAAUUACUGGGCGUAAAGCGCGUGUAGGCUGCGGCGUAAGUCGGACGUGAAAGCCCUUGGCUUAACCAAGGAAGUGCAUCCGAUACUGCGUCGCUUGAGUACCGGAGGGGAUGGCGGAAUUCCCGGUGUAGAGGUGAAAUUCGUAGAUAUCGGGAGGAACACCUGUGGCGAAGGCGGCCAUCUGGACGGUAACUGACGCUGAGACGCGGAAAGCGUGGGUACGCAAACGAGGA